ACGGAGGGGGCUAGCGUUGUUCGGAAUUACUGGGCGUAAAGGGUGUGUAGGCGGUCUGUUAAGUCGCGUGUGAAAUCCCCAGGCUUAACCUGGGAAGUGCGCGCGAAAUUGGCGGACUUGAAUGCCGGAGAGGGUCGCGGAAUUCCCGGUGUAGAGGUGAAAUUCGUAGAUAUCGGGAGGGACACCAGUGGCGAAGGCGGCGACCUGGACGGACAUUAACGCUGAGACGCGAAAGCGUGGGGAGCGAACAGGA
rnacentral:rRNA from 1 species